rnacentral:misc_RNA from 1 species
GAUGAAGAACGUAGCGAAAUGCGAUAAGUAAUGUGAAUUGCAGAAUUCAGUGAAUCAUCGAAUCUUUGAACGAACAUUGCGCCCGCCAGUAUUCUGGCGGGCAUGCCUGUUCGAGCGUCAUUACAACCCUCAGGCCCCCGGGCCUGGCGUUGGGGAUCGGCGGAGCCCCCCGUGGGCACACGCCGUCCCCCAAAUACAGUGGCGGUCCCGCCGCAGCUUCCAUCGCGUAGUAGCUAACACCUCGCGACUGGAGAGCGGCGCGGCCACGCCGUAAAACACCCAACUCUUCUGAAGUUGACCUCGAAUCAGGUAGGAAUACCCGCUGAACUUAAGCAUAUCAAUAAGCGGAGGA